CACCCCGGGAGUUUGGGGCGUAAGGCGACUGACGGGUCCUGGGGCGGGGCGUGGGGAGCUGCGAACUGGAAAGGCUGUGCCCGGAGGUAGGAUAGUAGCCCUGGGAGCCCCGGGAGAACGCGCGCCCGACUUCUCGACAGCGCCUAGCUCUCAGAGCCCAGAGCAAGGGGUGCAAAGUGUGGCUGGAGCGGCUGGAGGCAUUUCUGGAGGUGGCAAGUAGUGGGAACCGACAGGGACCCGAAGGAAGGGCAGCGGCAGGGUUGUGAGAAACCGAGUUAGGUGUAACGGUUCGGGAUUACCCCGGUUUGAGGAUGAUAGUAUAGACAGCUGGAUGUCCAGGAGGCAGACAGCGCUGCGCUGCGCAAACCUGCCCGGACGUGGGAAAGGAAUAGAGAGGAGACUCCGCCGCAGCCUCUCACUCGGAAAAUCUUAGGAGUAUCUUCGAGGCCAGAUCAGGUUGCAGACCUGCAGCCAGCGAGCCUCACCUCCGUGUUAAUAACUGUCCGUUGGAGAGAUCCUUAACCUUUAACCCUCUCUGUGCUGGACACUCAAGUGGAAAAGGCAGACGGCGAUGGGGCUCACAGACUUCCACAACACGAACGGUGGAUGAGACUCUAGACAUCAUCUGUCAACCCCUUUACUCAACAGAUGGGAAAUCUAAAUUCCAGGGAGAGGGGCUGCUGGAAAAGGAAGGAGAGAAAACAGCUUUGCAAGAUGCAGUAUCUCAUUCAGCCUCAGUGCCUCUGCCCGAGCCUCAGCUGAGUCCACUAUAAAGCCAGAAGGAAACGGAAACCUGGAAGAUUAUAUGACUUGCUUCUGGUCCUCUGGAGCGGCGCAGGCAAAUCUGAAACUCGAUUCUAGGCCUUCAGUUUCUCAGUGCAGUGCUCUUGCCAUCAAAAGUCUGCCUCAGGGAGGAUUCUGCCUGCGAUUGCUGACUGCUUCCCCCUCUUUUACUCCUAAGAAGGCCCUGCCUUGUGGACUCCUUGGACCUCAGAAGUGGAGACUCAAGAGCACUUGGAGAGCAAAGGAGAACCACUGAGCUUUCCAGCAGACGGGUCUGAGCCUGAGCUGUCCACCAGGGGCCCUUCUCCGUACUCCACUGGAGGUGUGCACGAUGCUUCCUCAGUUCCUGGUAGCCUGAAAUGCAAGAGUGAUGUUUGGAGUUGGAGUGGCCAUCUUGUACUCUUACACGGAAGGUGCAGGAUGGGAAAGACAAAGUGCAUUUACAGGAAAGGAGUAUGUUUAGCAAUGGGAGAGAGACCAUGCUUUCCCGGUGGUUAUGUGCUGCCGUAUCAGCCCUGGAGCACCUACCCAAAUCUUAGCAUGACUGAGAAAUAAAAUAACUUUGAAGAUCACCAUGAUUUCGAGCCUUUCUGCUCUCUCUUAUGAUAUAUAUCCAAACUAAUACAUGUGGAGAAUAUUUUAUUGGACAUCUUAUC